rnacentral:rRNA from 1 species
UACGGAGGGAGCUAGCGUUGUUCGGAAUUACUGGGCGUAAAGCGCACGUAGGCGGCUUUGUAAGUUAGAGGUGAAAGCCCCGGGGCUCAACUCCGGAACUGCCUUUAAGACUGCAUCGCUUGAAUCCAGGAGAGGUGAGUGGAAUUCCGAGUGUAGAGGUGAAAUUCGUAGAUAUUCGGAAGGAACACCAGUGGCGAAAGCGGCUUCCUGGUCCAGCAC